GACAGAGGGGCAAGCGUUGCUCGGAUUUACUGGGCGUAAAGGGCGCGUAGGCGGCCACCGCAAGUCAGUUGUGAAAUCUCUGGGCUUAACCCAGAAAGGUCAACUGAUACUGCGGGGCUAGAGUGCAGAAGGGGCAACUGGAAUUCUCGGUGUAGCGGUGAAAUGCGUAGAUAUCGAGAGGAACACCUGCGGCGAAGGCGGGUUGCUGGGCUGACACUGACGCUGAUGCGCGAAAGCUAGGGGAGCGAACGGG
rnacentral:rRNA from 1 species